UGCAGUUCGAGCGGACAGAUGGGAGCUUGCUCCCUGAUGUUAGCGGCGGACGGGUGAGUAACACGUGGGUAACCUGCCUGUAAGACUGGGAUAACUCCGGGAAACCGGGGCUAAUACCGGAUGGUUGUUUGAACCGCAUGGUUCAGACAUAAAAGGUGGCUUCGGCUACCACUUACAGAUGGACCCGCGGCGCAUUAGCUAGUUGGUGAGGUAACGGCUCACCAAGGCGACGAUGCGUAGCCGACCUGAGAGGGUGAUCGGCCACACUGGGACUGAGACACGGCCCAGACUCCUACGGGAGGCAGCAGUAGGGAAUCUUCCGCAAUGGACGAAAGUCUGACGGAGCAACGCCGCGUGAGUGAUGAAGGUUUUCGGAUCGUAAAGCUCUGUUGUUAGGGAAGAACAAGUGCCGUUCAAAUAGGGCGGCACCUUGACGGUACCUAACCAGAAAGCCACGGCUAACUACGUGCCAGCAGCCGCGGUAAUACGUAGGUGGCAAGCGUUGUCCGGAAUUAUUGGGCGUAAAGGGCUCGCAGGCGGUUUCUUAAGUCUGAUGUGAAAGCCCCCGGCUCAACCGGGGAGGGUCAUUGGAAACUGGGGAACUUGAGUGCAGAAGAGGAGAGUGGAAUUCCACGUGUAGCGGUGAAAUGCGUAGAGAUGUGGAGGAACACCAGUGGCGAAGGCGACUCUCUGGUCUGUAACUGACGCUGAGGAGCGAAAGCGUGGGGAGCGAACAGGAUUAGAUACCCUGGUAGUCCACGCCGUAAACGAUGAGUGCUAAGUGUUAGGGGGUUUCCGCCCCUUAGUGCUGCAGCUAACGCAUUAAGCACUCCGCCUGGGGAGUACGGUCGCAAGACUGAAACUCAAAGGAAUUGACGGGGGCCCGCACAAGCGGUGGAGCAUGUGGUUUAAUUCGAAGCAACGCGAAGAACCUUACCAGGUCUUGACAUCCUCUGACAAUCCUAGAGAUAGGACGUCCCCUUCGGGGGCAGAGUGACAGGUGGUGCAUGGUUGUCGUCAGCUCGUGUCGUGAGAUGUUGGGUUAAGUCCCGCAACGAGCGCAACCCUUGAUCUUAGUUGCCAGCAUUCAGUUGGGCACUCUAAGGUGACUGCCGGUGACAAACCGGAGGAAGGUGGGGAUGACGUCAAAUCAUCAUGCCCCUUAUGACCUGGGCUACACACGUGCUACAAUGGACAGAACAAAGGGCAGCGAAACCGCGAGGUUAAGCCAAUCCCACAAAUCUGUUCUCAGUUCGGAU
rnacentral:rRNA from 1 species